rnacentral:tRNA from 1 species
GACCGCGUAGCUCAGUUGGCAGAGCAUUGGGCUAGUAUUCCAAAGGUCGGAGGUUCGAUUCCCGCCGUGGCCA